GACGAACGCUGGCGGCGUGCUUAACGCAUGCAAGUCGAACGGAAAGGCCCUGCUUUUGUGGGGUGCUCGAGUGGCGAACGGGUGAGUAACACGUGAGUAACCUGCCCUUGACUUUGGGAUAACUUCAGGAAACUGGGGCUAAUACCGGAUAGGAGCUCCUGCUGCAUGGUGGGGGUUGGAAAGUUUCGGCGGUUGGGGAUGGACUCGCGGCUUAUCAGCUUGUUGGUGGGGUAGUGGCUUACCAAGGCUUUGACGGGUAGCCGGCCUGAGAGGGUGACCGGCCACAUUGGGACUGAGAUACGGACCAGACUCCUACGGGAGGCAGAGGUGGGGAAUAUUGCACAAUGGGCGGAAGCCUGAUGCAGCAACGCCGCGUGCGGGAUGACGGCCUUCGGGUUGUAAACCGCUGUCGCCUGUGACGAAGCGUGAGUGACGGUAAUGGGUAAAGAAGCACCGGCUAACUACGUG
rnacentral:rRNA from 1 species